UAGUCCACACCGUAAACGAUGAGAGCUAGCUGUCUGCAAGCAUGCUUGUAGGUGACGCAGCUAACGCAUUAAGCUCUCCGCCUGGGGAGUACGGUCGCAAGAUUAAAACUCAAAGAAAUUGACGGGGGCCCGCACAAGCGGUGGAGCAUGUGGUUUAAUUCGAUGAUACGCGAGGGACCUUACCUAGGCUCUAAUGCGCGUGACCGCCCCUGAAAGGGGGCUUUCCUUCGGGACACAAAGCAAGGUGCUGCAUGAUUGUCGUCAGCUCGUGCCGUGAGGUGUUGGGUUAAGUCCCGCAACGAGCGCAACCCUCACUGUUAGUUGCCAGCAUUUAGUUGGGCACUCUAGCGGAACUGCCGGUGCUAAGCCGGAGGAAGGUGGGGGAUGACGUCAAGUCCUCAUGGGCCCUUACGGGGUAGGGGCUACACACGUGCUAUAAUGGCGCUGACAGAGGGGUUAAUCCC
rnacentral:rRNA from 1 species